rnacentral:lncRNA from 1 species
CAAACAUACAAAAUAACUAAAUCCCUAUACAUGCCAUAACUCAAACGUGAUUCGAUAUAAAAUACCGAGCAGUUGUGGUUGAUAGUGUGGACGAUCUUCGACUUCUUUAGGAUCCUUGAAGUAGCUUUGCAAUACUAUAAGAGAAAGAGAAAUAAAAGAAGUAAGCAUAAAGCUUAGUAAGUUUACUAGCAAAUAAAUAACAAUAUUUAACUUAAAUAAUUAAACUCAAAUGUCUAUAUCUCUAGUUUACUCUUUAGUUAAUCUCAUACUAGUUCUCUUGCUUGUUUACUUAGAAUACUUGUGUACAUAACUUACUCAACUCUUGCUGCAUCGUUGAACAUCAAUUGAUAGUAUAAUAAGUUCUUAACUCUUAUAACUUACCUGAGCUUGCCAUUUAUGCUUUAAACUGAACUUUCAUGAACAUAAUUCGUUUACAAGCCCGUUGAGCUACAUUGGAAUAAUAAGGAUACUCGGGUCUCUUCUGAUAAUAACAUGCCAAAGCCAUGUCCCAGACAUGGUCUUACAUGGGAUGCUCUCAUAUCGGUGCCCAUGCCAUGUCCCAGACAUGGUCUUACGGAGGACCUCUCAUCUCGGUGCCAACGCCAUGUCCUAGACAUGGUCUUACAUGGGACCUCUCAUCUCGGUGCCAAUGCCAUGUCCCAGACAUGGUCUUACAUGGGACCUCUCAUCUCGGUGCCAAUGCCAUGUCCCAGACAUGGUCUUACAUGGGACCUCUUUACCCAAAUGUCAUGACAUUCGUAUCCAGUACCAUCCUUAUGUAUCAACGGGACUUUUUAAUUUUAAUUCUCUAUCAUUUCAUGCUUAGAUCAUCAUCAAAUAAAUUCAUAAAAUAAAUUCAUAGUUGCUGGAAAAUAACAGCAUUGAUAAUAAAUAUUGAAAUAUUGCAUUUAUGUAAAUAAAUUUACCUCGGUACCAAUUAUAGCCAAAUUCACCAACUUAGUCUUCAACUUUAUUCUUCCCUUUGUCUAACCUCGAGUUUCGUUCUUCUUG